CAGUUCUCACUAACCAGAAAGCCCAUGUUCUACUUGCUUGGGUGCAGUUUUAAAGAACAGAUGAAGCCAGAAGAACCAUAGCAGAGGCUGUGGUGCUCAGCUGAGACAACACUAGAUUUUUACUUUCCUGUGCUGGUACAACCAAUUACGUUAUACCUUGAUUAAAAACAUGACAUUGCUGCAUAAUCUAUUUUCUGUUAUGUUUCAUCUUCUUUUUCCAGAAUUCUUUUUCAGAUGUAAUAUCAAGCAGAAAAAAACAUUGAAUCUGGGUUCAUGAGAAGGUAGGUUUUGUGGAAAUCAGUAUGAAAACUAUUACCUAUUUUACCUGGGCCUUUAGACAGGUAUAAUCUUCAUCUCUUUAUAUUAUCAUUAAGUCACAUUCAGCAGACCUUGCAGACAUCUAUAUACCUGACUGUAGUAUUGCAUCAAAGCAAAUAAAAACUGCAUUUGGGAUAAGCCGUAUUUCACGUUCACUACUGCACCCCAACGCCUAACUGCAGACGUCGUAAAGAGUUAAUAAGCAGAUGUUCACUGUUAUAACACAUGAUAGGUGAGCAGCUUUAUAAAACAGACUUUCGCCUUCCAACCAAGAGAAAGACUAUAACAUUUACAUAUAUAUUUUCUACUAUAUAAGAAGAAAUGCAAGAACCUGAAACAAAUAAUUCAAACAUGAACACAGUUCUUUAUGGGGCUUUUGCUUUCUAUUUCAUCCUAUAUGAAUUUCCUUGUUUUCCUAUUUACUGCCUGUUAAUAUUUAGCUGUGCUGUGUAGAAUUAUUGCUCUUGAUUAAAAUAAAAUAUUUCACAUAGAAGUAUGUAUCAGGUAGAAUUUAAAUAAAUUGUUACCUCACACAUAAAUUAUACUUGCCUGCUAUGUGACACUUGAUAAUUAUGUAGUUAUAAAUACAAACUUCAGUGUUUUCAAUUAGGUUAAAGUAGGGAAAUAAGUAUAUUUUAGAUUGAAUGCUUAAGUGUUUUACAUUCUAAUUGUUCUUCUACUCUUUUCCUCCACAGUGUCAAAUUCUAUUUGGAAUACAGGGACUUUUCUUUUCCGUUGAGAAGAAAAUAAAACAGAUAUGUUUGGCUUAAUAUUUCAUUUCAAAUAACUAAUAAUGGUAUCAUUGUAUAUGAUAAUGAUAAUGUGAUUCUGCUCUCUUUGAGGGAUUUCAGCUCAUCUAAUUUUCUGCAGAACUAGGACCAAGAGGAUCCCAUUGACUAAGAACAUCUGCUUCGUGUGACUAGAUAGAAUUCACAUGUGUUGGAAGAGAAACUAUCCACAUGGCAGGCACAGAGAAGUGGUGGAAUCCCUGCUAAUGAAAUAGUCCUGGCCUCUCUCUACCUCACUUGCUCAAAGGUGGAAUGGUUGGAUUUGUAGAGCGAAAUAGACACCAGCAUUGUACCAUAUGUAUUUCCAUUACACUAGAAAUUGGAAAUCUGCUGUAAACUCAUCACCUCAUUAGCCUGCCAGUUUCACUUAGUAAGCAGGUAACAAGAAGUCCAAGUCAAAGAUUCAAAAUAGGAUUGUUUUAUUCCACAGAUGGAAAAAUGACAGAGGCCCAGGCCCGUAGAAGAUUGUUCAUUCGGACAGUGGAAAGCAUACUUCAAGGACUGAUUGGAUAACAUAAAGCAUGAUCACAGACAGAGCAGAGGCCCUGUGCGAUGCUUGAAAGCACUUGGUGAGGUACCCGCAUGACCCUGCCCCUCCCAGCCUUCCUUCAGAGGGCAAGUGCUUCCGUGGGCCAAGGGGAGGAGGAAAGCUCUCCUCAUUUCCAUGGAGCACUGAUGAACACUUCUUACUGGGCUUUUUAAACUUACAUUAUUCAAAUGCUACUUUUUGCUAUAAAGCCACAUUUCGUUCAUGUGACACGAUGCGCUGCCUGAAAAAUGGCAUGAUCCUACAGUGGAAUCAUCAAAUUCCUCACCCUCUUCUUUAGCAAUCAUUAGGGAAUCAUCUAUUCAUCAGAUUAUGGGAGAAAUGGAAGAAAUAAAAAAUGAUGAAAAAAUGCAGAGGGAAAUGUUGUUUAUCUCUUUGAGAUGGAAAAUAUGAGACCAUGUGGAUUUCACAAGACUAUUCUAUUUUUACCAGACCUGGUUCUUUAGACAUCUUGCAGGCAAUACUCUCUUCUCUGGUCUCUGCAACGCACAUUUCCAAGGCCAUCUCCUCAGUAUUUUAAUCAGGUAAUUUUCUUUCUUAAACCCCCAGGAAGGUUUCCAAUUCCCUCUUAAAUCAAGUUAAAAUCUUCUGAUUAUUCAUAAUGAGCAUCGCCCUCUUACCUCCCAAGUCGUUCUGAUUUCCUGUGACAGUUUGAUUUACCCACACUGGGAAAGUUACUCACACAUCCUCCCAUACCUGCCAUCUCUUUCCACCUCUUAGACAAUCUAAAUUCUGUUCUCACUGCCUGAAAUGACCUUUCUAAUCCUCUAUCAACUAAA